rnacentral:rRNA from 1 species
AGCUCCAAUAGCGUAUAUUAAUGUUGUUGCAGUUAAAAAGCUCGUAGUUGGAUUUCUGACAGGAGCGACCGGUCCGAGCCUCUGGUUCGAGUACUUAGUGUUGUCUCUAGUCAUCCUUAUGGAGAAUGUGUCUUUCAUUAAUUUGUUGGGCAUGGGAUCCAUAUCGUUUACUGUGAAAAAAUUAGAGUGUUUAAAGCAGGCAAUCGCUGUGAAUACAUUAGCAUGGAAUAAUAAGAUAGGACUUUGGUACUAUUUUGUUGGUUUGCAUACCAAGGUAAUGAUUAAGAGGGACAGUUGGGGGUAUUCGUAUUUAAUUGUCAGAGGUGAAAUUCUUGGAUUUAUGAAAGACGAACUACUGCGAAAGCAUUUACCAAGGAUGUUUUCAUUAAUCAAGAACGAA